AUGGAAUCCUGCCUUGCCCCUUACUGGCUUCUGAUGGUGGCCAUUGAUCUUCGGCAUUCCUUUGCUUUUGCAGCUGCAGCACUUCCUCUCUACCUCAGUUGUCACAUGGUAUUCUUCCUCCUGAAUGUCUCAGAUUGAUUUCAAACAAAUGCAGCAACAAAUCAAGGUGUUCUUCCUUGGGAAGUGAUGGGUGUUUUGCCUACUGUCAAUCUCUGGAAUCAUUCUGGCUACUAUGUGGACAAAAACUGUAGCAGGUAAAGAACAGGAGCCAAGAAGCCAGUAUGGAGCCAAAGAGCAGGCCAAGUGAGGGAUGAUGACUCACUCACUGGCUAGCUGAGUGGUUCUUGGCCUUGAGGAUUUAUUGGCACCCAUUUCAUUUGUCUUUCUCUGGAUUUAACAUUGAGGUGAUGAGAUGGAAUAUUACCUGUAUGCUUCGGAACAUCUAUGAGUGACAUGUAAUAGUUGCCUGGGAAACUAGAGAUGAAAUUCUACAGGUCUUUGAAAUGCUUUACAUUUGAGAAUGAAGCUCAGCUGAAGUUUGAACAGCAUACUGACAUAUACCAACAAGAAUGAAAAUAACUUAACAGCAAUUUUAUAAAUUCACAUCCCCCAGAGCACCACAGAGUAAAGAAAUACUGCAUAUGGGUAACAACUGGUUCUUAGUUACUAAAUCUGAAAGAUCAAAUACAGUUAAUUACAUAAGCUUCUCUUGAGUUUUUCUGGGGGAAUAUACCAGGAGACCAUAAUCAAGCAUCACCAGUGGCAUUUCAUACUGGUCCCAUGGUGUUAAUCCAGGUUUCUGGUAUUGCACUAAACACGAUGAAAAACAGGAGAGAACGGAGAGGGAUCAUGUUUUACCACAAUAUGCAAUUUAUGGGAGAGAUGAAGCGCUCAGGUGGAGAUGACUAGUGUCACGUGGUGUUUUAAGUGGAUACUCACAACGCUGGAACUCACAGCAAUAACAACAAGAGAUCCUCUAUAGACUGUUGAUGUAUAGCCAUGAGAAAAAAAAAAGAAAAAUUUUUGCUCUCAAUGAGCUUGCAUUUAAGCAUCUAUAAAAGGUGAGAUUAAUAUUUACUCAGUGAACUUUGAGUAAAGCAUUGGGUGCUUCAUUAUGUGGAGGAGUCUCAUCCAAUCAGUUGAAGGUGACUGAAUGGAACUAUAGAUCGACCUCACAUAAAUGAGAGGGAAUUCUGCAACAGAUCAUCUUUGCCUUUGAACUGCAGCAUGGACUCCCCUCUGGGUCUCCUGCCUGCCAGCCCACCCUGCAGAGUGCAUUUGCCAGCCUCCACAAUCAGGUAAUUUAUCCUGUGCAUUAACAAGAGGAAGUCUAGAGCCAUGGAAACCAAGUCAGGAAACUUCUCUCUUAUUAUUAGGUCCACUGCAAAUCUAGUUGAGACUGCAAAUCGAGCUAAUGAUAUCUUAAGUUAGAACAUCAUGCCAAGAGAAGUAUGUUUUCAACCAAGAAAGCAAAAUCAACAUGAUCCUAAAUGAACUGCUUCUGCAUGUCAACAGUCUUGAUAUACCUGAGAGAGUGAGAUACAGAGUAUGUUGUUAAACUUUUUAUAAUUACAAAUAUUGCUUGUAUUUCUUUUGAAAUUUGCCACACGCUGAUAUUAAAAAUAAUAGAUAGAAAA
rnacentral:lncRNA from 10 species